UUACGGCCACACUACGUUGAAACACCAGUUCCCGUACAAUCACCGAAGUUAAGCAACGUCGAACUUAGUCAGUACCUAGAUGGCAGAUCUCUUGGGAAUACCAGGUGUUAU